AUAUGCAAGCUCACUUAAGACAUUCAAGGAGAUCCGGAUCCUUUCCUCACUGCCCAGGCCCGGGCCCACCUCUCCUUUAACCGUCAGGGUCCCCACUACCUAGGAAGCCCCACACCUUCCAAAGAUGCGCUAGGUGCGCCAGAGGCAUGCUUCUCUGCUCCGCUGGCUUGGAAGAACCAGGUCUGAGGCCAAGAUAAAACCUGAUUCCUGGUGUCCGACCCCCUAACAUUAGAAGUCGAGAGAUGAAGGGAACACUCGGAAAUCAGCGCCAUGGAUUCAAACCAGCACUGGAAAAUGCCCCAGGACAGUUCGUGCUGAGCGCCUUAGCCACAGGAAACAUUUUCCUGAGCAUCUAAAAGUAUUGUGGACCUGAGGCACUGUGCUUACAGGGUCUAAUGG